GGGAACGUUGCUAAUACCGAAUAAUGCAGCGGCACUUAAUGGUGACAGUUGUUAAAGCGGGGGAUCGAAAGACCUCGCGUCUAAAGAGGAGCCUGCGGCAGAUUAGCUAGUUGGUAAGGUAACGGCUUACCAAGGCGAUGAUCUGUAGCCGGCCUGAGAGGGCGGUCGGCCACACUGACACUGACAUACGGGUCAGACUCCUACGGGAGGCAGCAGUCGGGAAUUUUGGGCUAUGGGCGAAAGCCUGACCCAGCAACGCCGCGUGAAGGAUGAAAUCCCUCGGGAUGUAAACUUCGCAAGAACGGGAAGAAUAAGUGAGAGUUAAUAUCUCUCGUCGAUGACGGUACCGUU
rnacentral:rRNA from 1 species